AGCGAACGCUGGCGGCAGGCUUAACACAUGCAAGUCGAGCGGGCGUAGCAAUACGUCAGCGGCAGACGGGUGAGUAACGCGUGGGAACGUACCUUUUGGUUCGGAACAACACAGGGAAACUUGUGCUAAUACCGGAUAAGCCCUUACGGGGAAAGAUUUAUCGCCGAAAGAUCGGCCCGCGUCUGAUUAGCUAGUUGGUAGGGUAAUGGCCUACCAAGGCGACGAUCAGUAGCUGGUCUGAGAGGAUGAACAGCCACAUUGGGACUGAGACACGGCCCAAACGCCUACGGGAGGGAGCAGUGGGGAAUAUUGGACAAUGGGGGCAACCCUGAUCCAGCCAUGCCGCGUGAGUGAUGAAGGCCCUAGGGUUGUAAAGCUCUUUUGUGCGGGAAGAUAAUGACGGUACCGCAAGAAUAAGCCCCGGCUAACUUCGUGCCAGCCGCCGCAGUAA
rnacentral:rRNA from 1 species